AUGGCCAGCUCCGACGCCGUGUCCGUCGUCCCCGCGCCUGACGCCGCCGCCGCCGCCCCCGCGCUGCCGGCGGUCGCCAAGAAGCGGGGCAGCUACAACUGCGGCCGCUGCGGGCUCCCCAAGAAGGGCCACGUCUGCUCCAUCCCCGGCCCACCUGCCGCCGGGGCUGGGACGGCGGCGGCGGCCCCGGAGCACAAGCCGAGGCGCGCGCUCCACUUCGACGAGGCGGCGGCGGCGGGCGCGCUGGACGUGAUGCCGGUGGCGGCGGCGUAUCCGGCCCCGCACCGCCCCCCGGAGAAGAAGCCGAGGGUGGAUGUGGUGGACGUGGAUGAUUCGGAGCCGGAGUCGGGCGGUGUCGGGAGGCCGGGGUUGGUGGCCGUCGGCUCCGGCGUGCGGGUGCCGGGGGAGGUGGUCAUUGAGGUGCUCCGGCGGCUUGCCCCGAGGGCAGUCGCGGCGUCCGCGGCCGUCAGCCGCGGGUGGCGUGACUGCGCGAGGCGGGUCUGGUGGGGGGCCGAGGAGCUCCGCCUCCGCGCUGCCGGCGUUAGCACCAUCGGGACGCUGCUGCCGCGGUGCCCCGCGCUGUCCAGGCUCGUGCUCCGCAUGGAAAGUGAUGUUGAUGCCACAAUGCUUGCAUGCCUUGCAUUUUCCUGCCCAAACAUGCAAUCUCUGGAGAUAAGCAUGGCUGAUAGUGCAGUCAACCGGAUGACCGGGGAUGAGCUUACUAGAUUUAUUUCGGAGAAGAAGUCUCUGACAGUUCUUAAAGUAGAUCGCUGUAGUGGUCUUGGUUUUCUUAAUAUAAACUCUACAAGCCUUUCAACCCUUUGGCUAUCAGAUCUCUCUUCCAUCACAAAAUAUGUCAUAAACUGUCCUAAUUUGAGUGAGCUCUCACUGAUUUUUUCCCAACAAGAUAAUGAUUCUACCGAUCUGAUUAGUAUGAUGGAUAGUCUGGGCCGCACCUGCUUGAAUUUGAGAAAAUUGCACAUAUCCUCAAUUCACUUGUGCAAUGAAGCUGUGUUUGCUCUUGGGAGUGCUAAUCUCAGGGGCUUGUGCAUGCUGUCCUUGCUUCUAGGUAAAAAAAUAACAGAUGCAGCUGUUGCAUCUAUUGUUCGUUCUUUUACAAGCUUGGAGUUGCUUGAUUUAAGCGGAUCUUGUAUCACUGAUAAUGGGCUUGGGAUGAUCAGCAAGGCAUUCCCUGAUACCCUAACCAGGCUGCUGCUUGCUAUGUGCCCAAAUAUCACCUCAUGUGGGGUCCAGGUGGCCGCAGUGCAGUUGCCACUUCUUCAGCUCAUGGACUGCGGCAAGAGCUUAUGUGCUAAUGUGCAGCCCGAAGCACCCCGAUCAUACUUUGGUGAUCUCAAUGGGGGGAUUAGGUUUUGCUCAAAACUACAGGUCACAAGGAAGCAGCAACCAACUUACCAAAAGUUGAUUAUAAAGCAUGCUAAUCUGAAAAAACUUAGUCUAUGGGGCUGUUCUGCAAUAGAUGCCCUAUAUGUAAAUUGUCCAGAGCUGAGUGAUCUGAACCUCAACUCUUGCAUAAAUCUGAAUCCAGAACGGUUGCUUCUUCAGUGUCCAAGCUUGAAAGAUGUUCAUGUCACUGGAUGCCGUGACAUGUUGAUCGGAGCAAUCAGAAACCAGGUUCUGAAUGAGUUUGCAGCAGGAGAGCCUCGCAUGCCUUGCAAGCGCCUUGCUGAUGGCUCGAAGCGGGUGCAAGUCCCUCAGUUCAUGCCAGAACAGCAGUUUGAGGACGAGAAAUGGUGCGGCGAGUCGCGGCGAAGCCAGUGCGCCGUGCACAUCUGA
rnacentral:rRNA from 1 species